rnacentral:rRNA from 1 species
CCUACGGGUGGCAGCAGUGGGGAAUAUUGGACAAUGGGCGAAAGCCUGAUCCAGCCAUGCCGCGUGUGUGAAGAAGGCCUUCGGGUUGUAAAGCACUUUCAGUGGGGAAGAAAGCCUUGGGGCUAAUACCCUCGAGGAAGGACAUCACCCACAGAAGAAGCACCGGCUAACUCCGUGCCAGCAGCCGCGGUAAUACGGAGGGUGCGAGCGUUAAUCGGAAUCACUGGGCGUAAAGCGCGCGUAGGCGGUCUGAUAAGCCGGUUGUGAAAGCCCCGGGCUCAACCUGGGAACGGCAUCCGGAACUGUCAGGCUAGAGUGCAGGAGAGGAAGGUAGAAUUCCCGGUGUAGCGGUGAAAUGCGUAGAGAUCGGGAGGAAUACCAGUGGCGAAGGCGGCCUUCUGGACUGACACUGACGCUGAGGUGCGAAAGCGUGGGUAGCAAACAGGAUUAGAUACCCGGGUAGUC